rnacentral:misc_RNA from 1 species
AACCUAGCACACCUGCGGUGUGUACCUGCGGAAGGAUCAUUAUCGAGUUACCACUCUAUAACCCUUUGUGAACAUACCUACAUGUUGCUUCGGCGGUCGGCCCCCCGGGCCCCCGGCCCCGCUCACGCGGGGCGUCCGCCGGAGGAUAACCAAACUCUGAUUUAACGACGUUUCUUCUGAGUGGCACAAGCAAAUAAUCAAAACUUUUAGCAACGGAUCU